rnacentral:lncRNA from 1 species
UUUGUAUUCACAGUACUUGGCUCAGUAAAUAUUUGCCGAAUGAGUAAAGCAGGUGGUAUGAUUUUUACGUUUUGAAGAAGCCGAGGUCCGGGGUGGCUAGGGAAGGGUAUCGGAAUUAGUGGGUGUCAUGAACGAAGUACCUACUGUGCGCCUGACCCAGGGUAAGUCCCUUCCACACGUUAUUUCAUCUAAUUCUCCUAACUGCCCGGCAAGGCCGGCACUGUUAGUUUCUGUUGGGAACGUUACUCUCCUUACCCAGUGGCACAUACCCUGCCUUAGUAUGGGUCUAUUUAACUCCAACGUCUUCUCGUUUACCACAAGGAGUUAAUGUAGUUUCAGCUAAAAACAAAGAAAGUGGCCAUUCUUGUCUUUUGUGGCUUCACUGUCCGUAAGUAGAUGUGAGAUUUCCAUUAGACUUUUUGAAUAUCCAACAUAACCAUCUUCCCUCCUGUCCUUCUGUGUCCAGAGUUUGUUCCUUUAGUGGCUUCACCGUCUCGCUGACUUCAAGAAUGAAGCUGCAAACCCUCACGGUGAGUGUUACAGCUCUUGAAGGUGGUGGACCGAAAGAGUGAGCAGCAGCAAGAUUUACUGUGAAGAGCGAAACAACAAAGCUUCCACAACCUAGAAAGAUGGGGAGACUGAAGCUUAGACUGAACACUUUUCCAAAGUUACUCAGCUGGUAAGAGGCAGGGCUGAGAUUUGGACUCUACCAUUCUUGUGACAGCACCCUGGCUCUUGGUGGCCGUUGGAUACUGCUCCUUCCCUGGGAAGAUUCAAGACCAGAGAAAGAAAGAGUCCAACCCAAGACAGUCCAAGGAAAGAAAAGAAACAGGAAAUUGUCAUCCAUCAGCAAACUCUCUUCUCCCUUGACCAACCUAGGGUAGCUGCCCUUGGCAACUCUCGGGUUACAAGAAGCUGGGCAGGAGAUUCCUGUGACAUUUCAGCAGAGUCACGAGUGGGUGGGAUGGGGAAGCUCCGAGCUGCAAAAUAGCUUGCAGUGCCUCGGAGAGGUGGCGCUGGCUAGCCUGGGACUUCCAACAUACAGCCUACAUUGAUGGCCUGAGACUUGUGGCAAAAAAGACUUUCAAAAUCUAAUUUGCUCACAUACAUGAACACCUGCCAGGAAGGAAUUUGAGGCCUUUGUUCUAAACAUGGAAAAGCUGAGUUCAUUUGCCCCAGAGGGGGCACCUGCAGGGAAAAGGAAAAAUGGUUUUAACCCUUUCCUUGAGUCAGAAAAUGAGGCCACCAGAUUCUCCUUUCAUCCUUCAAGUAUCAGAAAGGUCUGUGCUGUGAAUUCCACAGAUGAGAUUCAUUGCAAGAUGUGAGGGCAGAGGAAAUCCAUGGAAAUGAAAUCCACAUUCAAACUGGAUGCAUGCGUUCAGCAACUGGAAGCUGAGUUCAUAUUUCAUUGCCCAACUACCCUGACCACUUGGGAAUCGCAGGUUUGGAAGGACCCACAGCCAUUCUGUGGAAAUGGAUCUGCUUUCAGGACCGAAUCUCAGACUUCUUGGGGAAGGUUUCAGUGGCUGCCUUUGCUGUGCAGACCUGGAGAUGGGUCUGAUGAUCGGACACCUGAAUUAUCUGUGUGGCUGAGUUUCAAGAAGACCUGCUGGGGUGAAAUGAAAAUGGUGCCUACUAGAAGCCCCAGUGGCUUUGCUGGUGGAGGCUAGCUUGCUCAUGUCCUCAUACAGAAGCAGAGAUGCAAGCAAGUGAGAAGGUGGAAGGACUCAGGUCUUGGGCCUUACUCUGAGAACUAUAACACCAUUCCUUCUGCUGCAUUCUCUUGUCUAAAAUUUGCUCCUCCACUGGCUCUUCUUGUAGACACACGACUGCUACAGUAUCAAGGGUCUGAUGCAGACAUGACAAUGUCAAGAGGAAGAGGAGAGCCUCGCUCUUCCCAGGCUUUUGCUUUUAAGAGCAGAAAAACUUUCCCCAGAGUUCCACCAGCUCACUUCUCAUCUUACUUCUUUGGCCAGAACUGGCCCUUGUGCCCAUAUUGUCAGUCAAAUGCCGACAAAGGAAAGGGGCCACUAUGAGUGGUUUAGACUUGGAUUGGAUUUGUCCUUAUUGGAUUGUCCUUAAGUCCUUUGAAAAAGAAGUAUACAACAGAAUGAAAUCUUGACUCAGCUUUCAAGAAUAAAGAGGGUGAGAUGACUGAUGGAUGGCUAGCAAAAUCAGAUGUGGGCUCUGUCCUCAUGGAGCAUACAGUCAGAAGGGGAAGAUUUACCUAAUUACACUAACAAACUUAUAACUGUGGUCAGUGUUCUGAAGGAAAGGAAAUCCAGUUGUAUGGUAACGUAUAACAAAGAAACUGAACUAGGAUGGAGAUGGGGGUGGUAAGUGUAGUUGGGGAAGCCAGGGACAUGAUCUGUAAGAUGGCUGGCCUGGAUUCAAAUUCCACUCCACUUACUUGCUGUGUGAUUUUAGAUUAGUCGCUUCUCCUCUCUGAGCUCAACUUCAUCUAUAACAAUCUUUCCUAGGGUUGUUAAAGGAUUGAAUGAGCCACUCUAUGUAACCACUUGACACAUAUUAGGCACUUCAGUGGCUCCUUUUCCAGAUUAAAGAAGGAGAAAACGUGUAUGUUUGGAGUUAGCACAAGACAGGAUGAUUCCUCAUGUUUGUUUUGGAAAACAAGUCUUAAACUCACAGCCAUGACAGAGUCUGACAUCAUCAGACAUCAGGCGUGUUAAGAAUUGCACUCUUAAUUGAAAAUGUCCAGAGUUUGUGAUUAAUUGCAAUCCUUUUCAGAUCCUUUCCCUAAGAAUUUAAUUUUUCUCCCCACCCACCCGGAGGUCAGGCUUUUAAUGUAACAAGUACAAUCAAUCUUCCACUGAAGAUGGCCUCUCUCUAGUGCAAGCUGGAGCAGGACUCAUCUGGAUUAGAAGCCUAGACGGUUUGGAGUCACCUGGUGAGGUUUACGUGCACAGCUGGGGCCCAGCCUACCUAAUUAGGACCAGAGAGUGGUUGAGAAGGGGACCGGCGCGUAUUCUAGGCGCCCUCCUCCAGUGUCUGUUUCUAAUAAUGGCAGAAAGUAGCAGAGGCGGCGGGGUGAGCUUGGAGCGUGGUGACAUCAUCCCUCCAGCUGUUUUACACAUCUGUGACAUGGCUCAUUAGGACUCUCUUAACACCUCAUCCUUCCCUGCUCCACACAGCUCCAGUUGCAUGAGAAAAGGUGCUCUUGCAUGUGAGGGGCCCCAAGACUGGGGCUGACUUCAGGGUCAAAGAUUCGCUUGGGCACUCUACCAGUCAUCAGAAUUUUCACAGAGACACCCCCCCAACACACACACCCGCAGCAUGCGCUCCUUGAAAGUGCUAAUAGCUUCAAUAUGAGGCUGGCACUUCUGCAUGACUGUUGGUGUUCAGGGCCAGCCUAGUCUUGGGGAGUAGGCCAUCUGUAGCAGCUGCAGAAAUGUUUUUGCUUAUUUUGAGCAUUCUAAGUUUUUCCUAGCCAUGAAUAACAACAAUCGAAUAAAUCAUCCCACAGUGUGUAGGAUGGUCGUUUUUUUGUUUUUUUUUUUCAGCAAGAACAACAAAAAAUGACAUAUCAUGUACUAUGGAUAAUACACAUAAAAAAUUCCGCCAUAUUUAUAGGCAGCAGUUAACUAACUAUAUUUAGAUAUUUGAAACUGUCUUAAAUCAGAUGAAUGAUAAAAGCUUCCUGGAUUUCAGUGGAAAGCCUAAAUGACUAAACCAAAAAAAAAAAAAAAAGUUUUAUUACUAUGAAGUAUAGUGCAUAUUCUGAAAUAAAAGAUAUGUGAUAUUUAUAAAAUAAAAAGAGAAACUUUGUCAAUAGACAGCAUCAUUUAAUAAAGCAGGGUCCCAGAUUUACAGACCUUUGUUUGAGUUCUAAAAUUUACUAGGAAGGAGGGUGCAGGGGUGGAAGCCGUUCAUUGUAGCUCUUUAAAUUUCCUCACUUUUGAAUGGAGAUGAUAAAAUGCCCCUCACAGGGUUUUUGAGAGGACUAAAAAUAUAAGGUAUGGAAAGUGUUUAGCAUUGUGCCUAUCACAAAGUUAGUGCUUGAAUAUAUUAGCUAUUGUCAUUAAUACUAUUGCUAUUCUUAUUUCUUCUACAACUGUUAUUGUUGAAAUGCGAAGUCAAAAUGGUACAUUUUUAUCAACUAUUAAGUGCUAUCAUGUUUCAAUUAAUACAUAAUGUUAUUGAUUAGAAGAUGAUUAUAGUAUUGUCUCUAAGGAAGAAAAAAGGCUGCCUGUUAAACCAUGGUUUAACAAAUUCUGGAGUACGGGCGCAGUGGCUCAUGCCUGUAAGCCCAGAACUUUGGGAGGCCGAGGCUCACGAGGUCAGGAGUUGGAGACCAGCCUGACCAACGUGGUGAAACCCCAUCUCUACUAAAAAUGCAAAAAUUAGCCUGGCGUGGUGGCGCACGCCUGUAAUCCCAGGUACUCAGGAGGCUGAGGCAGGAGAAUUGCUUAAACCCAGUAGGCGGAGGUUGCAGUGAGCCGAGAUUGUGCCACUGCACUCCAGCCUGGGCGACAGCGACAGAGCAAGACUCCGUCCGCCCCCCCUCCCGCCCCCACCCUAAAAAAAGAAUCAAAUUCUGGAAAGCAUCAAUCAUCUCUCAGGCCUUUGAAAAUGAUCUAAUUUUGUAGAUCAAACCCUCUGUGCUUGCAGGUAGGCUCACGAAUGCAGAAAGUGCAUGCUGUGAGCCAUGCUGUACACCUCCUCAUUGUCCAUUUCUCUUCUGGUAUCUCUCAAGGUGUGUGGUCAGGUUAAGAGAUUGAGACUUAAGCCAGGCAGGUGUUACUUCCUCUCACCAUGACAAAACCUGGGACAAUGAGAAGAGGAUAGAUUCUUUCCUCCCGAGGGUGCUGAGGCAGGAUCAGAAUCUCUCCCUCGGGUCUGAAACAGAUCAUAUAGAAGGUUCAAAGCUGCAAGAACCAUUCUGAAACCAUAAGAAUCCUGAGAACGAAGCCCACCUCAUGCUAAUUGUGGAGACCAAGCUUAUUUGAGUUUACUUGAGCCCUUGGAUCCAGCCGUGCCUGAAGACUUUUUAAUAACAGGAAUAAAAAAUUCUAUUUUGGAUAAAGCACUUUGAGUUGGAUUUUCUAUUACUUGCAGCUUAAAAGCUGAAAUGGUCCUAUGUGAUAAGGGAAUGAGACGAUGAUUUUGAGCAUUUAAUCU